AGGCCUUUUUCAAAAGACACUUCCACCUCCUAAUCCCUGUGCCUACAAACCAAAUAUUGAUCUAUUUAGUAAACCAGCCUGUGGGAGGAGAGAUUGUAAAGCCCUGUUUACUCAGCAGUUGGGCCCCCCUGACAGCUGUUCAAUGGGGGAUUAUGAUGUCACAGUGGUAAUUACACUAUAAACAAGGGAUGGGGGAGAAUAAAGCAUGAAAGGAAACUGUGGGGCUCGUUACCAGGCAACACAAAAUAUGUAACCUGAAACCCGACAAGCAUGUAAAUUUCCUUGCAAGCCUCCCAGAUGUCCUCACUUUAGGGCCAACAGUCAGUUUCAGUUUCAAUUUGUUUAUUUGUCCUUCUUCAGUCACAAAUGUGGAGCUGAGAAUGUUGGAAGAGAGAAGAGAAAGCAAAGAAAAAUGGGACGAAGAGGCCUUUUGCUUUCUUCCUGGGAUGUAAGCGGCAGGGAGAAAGCUAAGAGGCUUGGUCUUCUCUCUUUAGAAACAGGUAGAGAUCGUUGUCCAAAGAGGGAGCUAAACCAGGUAAAUCAGCCUAAGGCAACUAAGAAAGUGAGCCAGGCCAGACAGGAGAAAGAGAAAAAAAAGAAUGAAAGCGAGAAGAUGAAACUGGUUAAAUGGGAGAAAGAGGAGGACUCCAGGGCAGCAUCAGCCCCCAGAGACCAGAAGGGGCCCUGGAGUGUCCACUGCCACAGCCCCACCUAGUGGUUGCCCCACAUCUUCCAUACCUACAGCGGCGGGGCGCUCCCCACAGCACCGGGCAGCUCUGCCUUUCUUUGGGCAACUUCAGCAGAAAGUUCUUAGGAUGAGCUGCAGUCAGCUUCCCUGUUCUAGCCCCUCCUCAUCAGUUCAGAUUCUGCUGCCCACGACAGUGAUUUCACUGUUUAGAAUGGCAUCAUGCUGAAGUGCUGUGUAAUGUUCCUAAAUGCAAGAAGGCUGUGAUGUGCCUUAUGGAGAAAACAUGCACGUUAGGAUAAAGAAGAGGCUCUGUGCUCAAGAACAGGGUUCAAUAUCAGAAAGACCAAGGGAGAAUCUGAAUCUGACCAGCACAGCCCGGUCCCUGCAUCUGUGGUUUAAACUCUUCUCAACUGUUUCCUGUAGGAGCUGUCAUGUACGUCUUGGAUAAAGG
rnacentral:lncRNA from 1 species